rnacentral:sRNA from 1 species
AGCAGCCGCGGUAAUUCCAGCUCCAAUAGCGUAUAUUAAAGUUGUUGCAGUUAAAAAGCUCGUAGUUGAAUUUCGGGAUUAGUACGUUGGUCGUGCCUUGGUACGUACUGGUGUAACUGAUUCCUCCCUUCUGACGAACCGUUAUGCCAUUAAUUUGGUGUGGCGGGAAAUCAGGACUGUUACUUUGAAAAAAUUAGAGUGUUUAAAGCAGGCUCGCGCUUGAAUACAUUAGCAUGGAAUAAUGAAAUAGGACGUUAAUCCUAUUUUGUUGGUUUCUAGGAUCGACGUAAUGAUUAAUAGGGAUAGUUGGGGGCAUUAGUAUUCAAUUGUCAGAGGUGAAAUUCUUGGAUUUAUUGAAGACUAACUACUGCGAAAGCAUUUGCCAAGGAUGUUUUCAUUAAUCAAGAACGAAAGUUAGGGGAUCGAAGACGAUCAGAUACCGUCGUAGUCUUAACCAUAAACUAUGCCGACUAGGGAUCGGAUGAUGUUAAUUUUUUAAUGACUCAUUCGGCGCCUUACG